rnacentral:lncRNA from 7 species
GGAGAAUUAAAAACCAGAAAGCUAAUAUACAGUAACCAAACCAAUUCAAGACAAUGCAUGUAUAAACUAGAAAAAGACUAUUUUUAAAAGGACGACGAUACAACAAGACAGUUCAUAAAUAAGUAGCAUACAUGUGUGCUGGACACAAAAGCCCCCGUUCCAUCAAAAUUGCCCCACAUCAAAAUUGCACCCGUCCUUUACUACCUGCGAUAAAGGUACCUAGCCUAUCAACUGUUUGUCUUUCGAAGAGUGUGUUUCACAGAAAACAGAAUGCUUUGGUUUCAUAGUGGG